AGGACACACAGGAGGGAGCCCCUCCCUCUAAAAGCACUCUGUGUGGGGAAGAUGAGAGCCAGAGGAACCAACCUGGAUCUGGAUCUGGACCUGGAUCCAGCUGUGUGUCCUUCAGGAGUGACAGAUCAGAUGAUUUACCUCCUAACUUCAAGUCCAUCAGUUCAGCAGUGGAACAGUUCCAACAGAGAUCUGGAUCUGGAUCCAGCUGUGUGUCCAAAAGGAGUGACAGAUCAAAUGAUUUACCUCUAAACUUCAAGUCCAUCAGUCCAGCAGUGGAGCAAGUGGACCAGCAGAGCUCAGAGACUCCCAGUGGUCCGUCUGUCCAGCAGCAUCAAACACA